GGUUGAUCCUGCCAGUAGUCAUAUGCUUGUCUUAAAGAUUAAGCCAUGCAUGUCUAAGUUUAAGCAAUUUAAACAGUGAAACUGCGAAAGGCUCAUUAAAUCAGUUAUAAUUUAUUAGAUAACCUUAUUACCAGUGGAUAACCGUGGUAAUUCUAGAGCUAAUACAUACUAUAAAGCCUCAACUUCUGGAAGAGGUGUAUUUAUUGCUAAAAACCAAUGGGGGCAACCUCUUUUUUGGUCAUACAAAAUAACUAGUCGAAUCGGAAAUUAAUUUUCUGAUGUAUCUUUCAAAU
rnacentral:rRNA from 1 species